UACGUAGGGCGCAAGCGUUAUCCGGAAUUAUUGGGCGUAAAGAGCUCGUAGGCGGUUUGUCGCGUCUGCCGUGAAAGUCCGGGGCUCAACUCCGGAUCUGCGGUGGGUACGGGCAGACUAGAGUGAUGUAGGGGAGACUGGAAUUCCUGGUGUAGCGGUGAAAUGCGCAGAUAUCAGGAGGAACACCGAUGGGCGGAGGCAGGUCUCUGGGCAUUAACUGACGCUGAGGAGCGAAAGCAUGGGGAGCGAACAGG
rnacentral:rRNA from 1 species